UACGUAGGGGGCUAGCGUUGUCCGGAAUCACUGGGCGUAAAGGGCGCGUAGGCGGCCACCGCAAGCCAGUUGUGAAAGCUCUGGGCUUAACCCAGAAAGGUCAACUGAUACUGCGGGGCUAGAGUGCAGAAGGGGCAACUGGAAUUCUCGGUGUAGCGGUGAAAUGCGUAGAUAUCGAGAGGAACACCUGCGGCGAAGGCGGGUUGCUGGGAUGACACUGACGCUGAAGUGCGAAAGCUAGGGGAGCGAACGGG
rnacentral:rRNA from 1 species